CCCCUUUGCUCGCGCCUCUUCAAGAUCCGCAAAAACCCUAGAAACCGCCAAACUCCCUCAACAAAGGGAGGCGAGAGAAAGAGCAAUCAACGCAGUAGAAGAAAAAUCAAGAAAAAGUACUCUCUUCACUCUCACCUCUUUUCUCUUUGCGAUCUGAAUCUAAAAGCUUAGGUGACAAAUUGUCAAUGGCAUCUUCAGACCAAGUCCCUUCUGGAAUUGUAGCACCUACUCCCGAUGUUGUUGGGAAUGCAUUUGUCCAUCAAUACUACCUUAUCUUACAUCAAUCUCCAGAAUUGGUUCACCGAUUUUACCAUGAUAGUAGUAAACUUUGUCGACCUGAAGAAAAUGGUAUCAUGAGUAU